rnacentral:ncRNA from 1 species
GAUCUCGCUGGCGAUGAGGCUCGCCUGAAACCGUCGGUUCACGACUGAUAGCCUCUGCCCCUGA